rnacentral:snRNA from 1 species
GGCUGAGAAUGAUCUGGCUGUGACAUCGGUCACCCCUUUGAUUUUCAGGGUUGAUUUAGCCGAUCUGGCUGGUUAUCUAGGUGUCCCCUUCCUCCCUCACUGCUUCAUGAGCAUUUCUCCUGAAGCUGCAUGCUGGGUCAAAGAGGACGAACUUCCCAGCUAGAGGAGGAUUGUUCAAGGGCAUACAAAUAGCAGUGCUUCUCUGUUAGAACCUUCAAAGAAGCUCCUAAGGUCCAUUUGUAGGAGAAUGUAGGGUAGUCAAGCUUCCAAUGCUCCAGACACAUGGGAAUGAGGCACUGCUUGUUGGCCGUCUGCAUUUCUUA